AUGCUUUUGUGGCAGGAGAGAUAGCAUGAUCAUGAAGGUGAUUUUCCCAGGGUGAGGUGUAUACAUUGUACUCCAGAUGUGCUGACCCCUGCGAUUUCCCCAAAUGUGGGAAACUCGACUACAGAAUGUGGUAGUGAGGGCCUGUCCGCUUCCCCAAA